rnacentral:rRNA from 1 species
AUACGUAGGGAGCGAGCGUUGUCCGGAUUUAUUGGGUGUAAAGGGUGCGUAGGCGGCUACGUAAGUUCAGGCGUGUAAUUCAGAGGCUUAACUUCUGAACUGCGCUUGAAACUGUGUAGCUUGAGUGGAGUAGAGGUAGAUGGAAUUUCCAGUGUAGCGGUGAAAUGCGUAGAUAUUGGAAGGAACACCAGUGGCGAAGGCGAUCUGCUGGGCUCUAACUGACGCUGAGGCACGAAAGCAUGGGGAGC